rnacentral:rRNA from 1 species
GGGUUGUGAGGUUAAGCGACUAAGCGUACACGGUGGAUGCCCUGGCAGUCAGAGGCGAUGAAGGACGUGCUAAUCUGCGAUAAGCGUCGGUAAGGUGAUAUGAACCGUUAUAACCGGCGAUUUCCGAAUGGGGAAACCCAGUGUGUUUCGACACACUAUCAUUAACUGAAUCCAUAGGUUAAUGAGGCGAACCGGGGGAACUGAAACAUCUAAGUACCCCGAGGAAAAGAAAUCAACCGAGAUUCCCCCAGUAGCGGCGAGCGAACGGGGAGCAGCCCAGAGCCUGAAUCAGUGUGUGUGUUAGUGGAAGCGUCUGGAAAGGCGCGCGAUACAGGGUGACAGCCCCGUACACAAAAAUGCACAUGCUGUGAGCUCGAUGAGUAGGGCGGGACACGUGGUAUCCUGUCUGAAUAUGGGGGGACCAUCCUCCAAGGCUAAAUACUCCUGACUGACCGAUAGUGAACCAGUACCGUGAGGGAAAGGCGAAAAGAACCCCGGCGAGGGGAGUGAAAAAGAACCUGAAACCGUGUACGUACAAGCAGUGGGAGCACGCUUAGGCGUGUGACUGCGUACCUUUUGUAUAAUGGGUCAGCGACUUAUAUUCUGUAGCAAGGUUAACCGAAUAGGGGAGCCGAAGGGAAACCGAGUCUUAACUGGGCGUUAAGUUGCAGGGUAUAGACCCGAAACCCGGUGAUCUAGCCAUGGGCAGGUUGAAGGUUGGGUAACACUAACUGGAGGACCGAACCGACUAAUGUUGAAAAAUUAGCGGAUGACUUGUGGCUGGGGGUGAAAGGCCAAUCAAACCGGGAGAUAGCUGGUUCUCCCCGAAAGCUAUUUAGGUAGCGCCUCGUGAAUUCAUCUCCGGGGGUAGAGCACUGUUUCGGCAAGGGGGUCAUCCCGACUUACCAACCCGAUGCAAACUGCGAAUACCGGAGAAUGUUAUCACGGGAGACACACGGCGGGUGCUAACGUCCGUCGUGAAGAGGGAAACAACCCAGACCGCCAGCUAAGGUCCCAAAGUCAUGGUUAAGUGGGAAACGAUGUGGGAAGGCCCAGACAGCCAGGAUGUUGGCUUAGAAGCAGCCAUCAUUUAAAGAAAGCGUAAUAGCUCACUGGUCGAGUCGGCCUGCGCGGAAGAUGUAACGGGGCUAAACCAUGCACCGAAGCUGCGGCAGCGACACUAUGUGUUGUUGGGUAGGGGAGCGUUCUGUAAGCCUGUGAAGGUGUACUGUGAGGUAUGCUGGAGGUAUCAGAAGUGCGAAUGCUGACAUAAGUAACGAUAAAGCGGGUGAAAAGCCCGCUCGCCGGAAGACCAAGGGUUCCUGUCCAACGUUAAUCGGGGCAGGGUGAGUCGACCCCUAAGGCGAGGCCGAAAGGCGUAGUCGAUGGGAAACAGGUUAAUAUUCCUGUACUUGGUGUUACUGCGAAGGGGGGACGGAGAAGGCUAUGUUGGCCGGGCGACGGUUGUCCCGGUUUAAGCGUGUAGGCUGGUUUUCCAGGCAAAUCCGGAAAAUCAAGGCUGAGGCGUGAUGACGAGGCACUACGGUGCUGAAGCAACAAAUGCCCUGCUUCCAGGAAAAGCCUCUAAGCAUCAGGUAACAUCAAAUCGUACCCCAAACCGACACAGGUGGUCAGGUAGAGAAUACCAAGGCGCUUGAGAGAACUCGGGUGAAGGAACUAGGCAAAAUGGUGCCGUAACUUCGGGAGAAGGCACGCUGAUAUGUAGGUGAAGCGACUUGCUCGUGGAGCUGAAAUCAGUCGAAGAUACCAGCUGGCUGCAACUGUUUAUUAAAAACACAGCACUGUGCAAACACGAAAGUGGACGUAUACGGUGUGACGCCUGCCCGGUGCCGGAAGGUUAAUUGAUGGGGUUAGCGCAAGCGAAGCUCUUGAUCGAAGCCCCGGUAAACGGCGGCCGUAACUAUAACGGUCCUAAGGUAGCGAAAUUCCUUGUCGGGUAAGUUCCGACCUGCACGAAUGGCGUAAUGAUGGCCAGGCUGUCUCCACCCGAGACUCAGUGAAAUUGAACUCGCUGUGAAGAUGCAGUGUACCCGCGGCAAGACGGAAAGACCCCGUGAACCUUUACUAUAGCUUGACACUGAACAUUGAGCCUUGAUGUGUAGGAUAGGUGGGAGGCUUAGAAGUGUGGACGCCAGUCUGCAUGGAGCCGACCUUGAAAUACCACCCUUUAAUGUUUGAUGUUCUAACGUUGACCCGUAAUCCGGGUUGCGGACAGUGUCUGGUGGGUAGUUUGACUGGGGCGGUCUCCUCCUAAAGAGUAACGGAGGAGCACGAAGGUUGGCUAAUCCUGGUCGGACAUCAGGAGGUUAGUGCAAUGGCAUAAGCCAGCUUGACUGCGAGCGUGACGGCGCGAGCAGGUGCGAAAGCAGGUCAUAGUGAUCCGGUGGUUCUGAAUGGAAGGGCCAUCGCUCAACGGAUAAAAGGUACUCCGGGGAUAACAGGCUGAUACCGCCCAAGAGUUCAUAUCGACGGCGGUGUUUGGCACCUCGAUGUCGGCUCAUCACAUCCUGGGGCUGAAGUAGGUCCCAAGGGUAUGGCUGUUCGCCAUUUAAAGUGGUACGCGAGCUGGGUUUAGAACGUCGUGAGACAGUUCGGUCCCUAUCUGCCGUGGGCGCUGGAGAACUGAGGGGGGCUGCUCCUAGUACGAGAGGACCGGAGUGGACGCAUCACUGGUGUUCGGGUUGUCAUGCCAAUGGCACUGCCCGGUAGCUAAAUGCGGAAGAGAUAAGUGCUGAAAGCAUCUAAGCACGAAACUUGCCCCGAGAUGAGUUCUCCCUGACCCUUUAAGGGUCCUGAAGGAACGUUGAAGACGACGACGUUGAUAGGCCGGGUGUGUAAGCGCAGCGAUGCGUUGAGCUAACCGGUACUAAUGAACCGUGAGGCUUAACCUUACAACGCCGAAGCUGUU